rnacentral:rRNA from 1 species
AUGCUAGCAUGUCCUGUUAUGUCUUCAAAUUCAACUAGGCACACAAAAUCUUUAGUGCUCAAAGUUGUUUUACCAAUAGCCAGUAUGGUGUCACUUGCUAUGGUCAUAUUUGGUUUAUUGCUUUGGAGAGGAAAACACAAGAGCAAAUCAAUAUCUCCGCCCUCCUUUGCUACAAAAUUUCCCAAAGUUUCUUUCAACGACCUAUCCAGAGCAACACAAGGAUUCUCAGCAUCCAACCUAAUAGGCAGAGGGGGGUAUAGUUCCGUAUACCAAGGAAAACUAGCUGAAGAUGAAAAUGAGGUUGCCAUAAAAGUCUUCAACCUAGAGCUUACAGGAGCACGAAAGAGCUUCAUUGCUGAAUGUAAUGCGUUGAGAAAUGUGCGACACCGUAAUCUAGUCCCUAUACUAACUGUAUGCUCAAGCAUUGAUUCUAAUGGUAAUGAUUUCAAGGCCCUAGUAUAUGAGUUCAUGCCAGGAGGAGACUUACAUAAACUACUAUACUCAACUCAAGGCUGUGAAGGCUCUUCAAAUUUGAAUCUUGUUACAAUGUUUCAAAGGAUAGGCAUUGUCGUGGAUGUAGCGGAUGCAUUGGAGUACCUCCACCAUAACAACCAAGGAACAAUGGUUCACUGUGAUCUGAAGCCUAGCAACAUUCUUUUGGAUGACAAUAUGAUAGCUCAUGUCGGAGACUUCGGCCUAGCAAGAUUCACAGUUGGUUUCACAACAUCAUCACUUGGUAACUCAAACUCUUCUUCGGUUGCACUAAUUGGAACGGUCGGAUAUGCUGCUCCAGAAUAUGCAGGGGGUGGUCAAGUUUCGACCGCCGUGGAUGUUUACAGCUUCGGUAUCGUUCUCCUGGAGAUAUUCAUUCGAAGAACGCCGACUGAUGACAAGUUCAAGGAUGGACUGAGCAUUGUGAAGUUUACAGAGAUCAGCUUCCCUGAUAGGGUAUUGGAGAUUGUUGAUCCCCAGUUGUUACAGGAGUUGGAGCUUUGCCAAGAAACUCCGGUGGCCACGAAGGAAAAAGGUGUAUGUUCUCUGAUGUCUAUCCUAAACGUUGGCCUUUGCUGCACCAAGCCAUCCCCUGUUGAUCGUAUCAACAUGCAGGAGGUGGCUGCCAAGCUACAUGGAAUCAGGGAUGGAUAUCUUAGAGGAAAUUGA